rnacentral:lncRNA from 1 species
CCGGCUCCCGCCGCCCUGGGAUCGAUGCUCCUCCGUAGCCACAGCAACGCCGCCGGGACAACGCCACCGAGGAUGCGGCGGGAGCCACCGCCCGGCUCCGCAUUUGGGAAUGGAGGGAGAAAGGAAAAAUCGCUCCAAGGUCACCUGGGCAGGUGACAAACACCCGGCACAGAACCUGCUGGAAGAGCCUCACAUUCCAAGAAUUCCCGACGAGAGCAGGAAUUUUUCAAAACGGACGUGGAAACCCAAAAACGCUGCAGGAAAUCGGGGCCAGUCUGCAGUGGAACAGCUCCAGAAGGUCCCUCCUGACGGGAAUUCGGGAAUUCCGGAAUUCCCUGACCAGUCCAGAGUGAGGGAUGGCAUCAGGGACACUGGGACCAACACACCUCGCACAGCCUCAAAUUCACAUCUCCCCCCCAUUCCAAAGACCCUUCGGGACCCCCGACCCCCUCAGGCCUCCCCCGGUACCUCCGGCCCGGCCGCUCCCGGUACCGUCGACCCCGCCCGACAAAAG